rnacentral:rRNA from 1 species
UAAGACAGAGGAUGCAAGCGUUAAUCGGAAUUACUGGGCGUAAAGCGCACGCAGGCGGUUUGUUAAGUCAGAUGUGAAAUCCCCGGGCUCAACCUGGGAACUGCAUUUGAAACUGGCAAGCUAGAGUCUCGUAGAGGGGGGUAGAAUUCCAGGUGUAGCGGUGAAAUGCGUAGAGAUCUGGAGGAAUACCGGUGGCGAAGGCGGCCCCCUGGACGAAGACUGACGCUCAGGUGCGAAAGCGUGGGGAGCAAACAGGAUUAGAUACCCUGGUAGUCCACGCUGUAAACGAUGUCGAUUUGGAGGUUGUGCCCUUGAGGCGUGGCUUCCGGAGCUAACGCGUUAAAUCGACCGCCUGGGGAGUACGGCCGCAAGGUUA